CGUAGGGUGCAAGCGUUGUCCGGAAUUAUUGGGCGUAAAGAGCUCGUAGGCGGUCUGUCACGUCGGCUGUGAAAACCCGAGGCUCAACCUCGGGCCUGCAGUCGAUACGGGCGAAAACUAGAGUACUGCAGGGGAGGACUGGAAUUCCUGGUGUAGCGGUGAAAUAGCGCAGAUAUCAGGAGGAACACCGGUGGCGAGGCGGGUCUCUGGGCAGUAACUGACGCUGAGGAGCGAAAGCGUGGGGGAGGCGAACAGGAUU
rnacentral:rRNA from 1 species